AAACCAUGCAAUGGGCAUUUCAUAAUUAACUCCGUGAAUCACUUCCAUGCUUCAUAUAAUGUUUCAUCCUCAGAUUUCCAAAAGGACAUAGUAUCUUUCCUCAAUUU
rfam:Gossypium arboreum cultivar AKA8401 contig_60533_1, whole genome shotgun sequence.